rfam:Syntrophobacter fumaroxidans MPOB, complete genome.
UUAGAAAAAGCCAAAUCCAUCGCAAGGUGGAGACGGAAAGCCGCGGGUCUCCUUCCCAUUCGAGACGGCCGGGUUGCCUGAU